GCCUGUCACUAGUUGUGCAAUGAAGUGCCAAAUGAAUGAUAUCAGCAAAGAUUAAAUAUCUCCAGGAUGUCUCCUCUGCCAGCACUGUACCAGCUUUAGAAAAACAUGCUUGCAUUAGCACACAGAAUAGAGCACAUCACCAGAUAAGCUCAUUUUUGAAAUGCCACAGUAAUCUCUUCCUUUUCACAGUUUUUCAUCCGUAAUCACGUCGGUGUGUACUGGCUCAGGCUGGCUGCCCCCAGGGGCUUCAGUGGGGAGGGUAUUAAAUGGGCAUUUUGUGAGUGGCAUUCCUGAUGCCAGGGCAGUCCUGCAGCCAAACAGCUAUCAGCCAUGGCCUCUGUGAAGAAGUCUCUCGAAGGACUCAAAGGGACAACGCAGGCAGCUGCUAAGGGAGUCACCGAUUCUGCUGUCCAAGCAGCACAAGAGGCUGUGCAGCAGGUGGCAGAGUCAUCCAAAGAAACAACAAAAAUGGGUAUAUCUCUUCUAGUACCAGCUCUGCCAUUAUACCAGCUCAGCCACUGCCAGCAUUCAUCUGUUGUUAUGUUUACCGAGCUUCAUAGCUGACCUGCAUGGCCAAACCGAUUUUUCAAACCCUAGGGAUUUCUAAAUCCUUUAACAAAUACACUUUGUGGAUGUUUAAAGAAAGUAGGGAGAGUUUCAUACGGUACAUUUCAUUUUUAAACUUCCUACACUAGUUACCUUUUCAUUUGGUCUGUCAAGGGCAAGUCACCCUACCUAAAUACAUUUAAGUUAUUAUUGAAUGUGCAAGGCCAUGGCAGAGUGGUAGGGCAGUGACUGAGCAAUCAGCAGCUGAGCUUUCAGGUUAUCCGUCCUUCAAAGCAGCGUGAUACAGGACCGGUUCUCGACCAGGAACCCACAGGGAUCCCAUAGACCAUCCCCCGUCGUACCCUUGAGUUAGAGAGGGAAAACCUCCAUGGGUUUGCUUCAGCACAUCGUGUAGCCCGGUUAUGGGAAGGCAUCCAAACCAAAACCGAGAUGGCUUAGUCAUCCAGGCAUGAACUGAUCCAAUUCACUAGUUGAACAGAGGGCCUAACAGGGACGCUCACUCAUGUGCCUUCUCCAAUGUGCCUUGCACAGCAGACAUGUGCAGUAUAAGACAGCUGGAAUCAGACACACGUUCAGUUUUAUGUUGCUGCUGCUCUUCAAAGUGGUGUUUCAAAUCAAAGUCCCUGUGCAAUUGACGGGGCUCACAAUGUCAUAAACUCAGGUGGUAUACUUAGUAAAGAGUGGUGGAGCUUAUGGUUAUGUAACAGUGCAGGGGAGUCACAAUUGCAAUGACAUCACCACAACAAUAGAAAAUAAUCGGGUUUUGGGUUUGUAUGCUUGUGAUCAGUAGCUGCAAUAAUAAAUAUUUCUUAUGCUUAAUUCAGAUUUGCUUCUGCAUUAUUUUUUUUAAAAAGGGUCCCCAUUGAAAUAUCAUCAAACUUCAAACAAGGCUUCUCUGUUUAUAUUUUCAGCUGCAGAUGAGGCCUCCAAGCAGACUCAGAGUGCCAUAGGCACAGCUGCAGGCAAAGCAACAGAUGCCAUCAAGGAAUUUGGACAACAACUUGGUCCAAAAUGAGGAGAGACAAAUUCCCUAUGAUCUCAUGUAAAUGCCGCAGUCUUGACAGACUGAAAUGGACUUGGUAUUAGAAAAAAUAUAUAAAAUUAUUUUAUAUUUUUGCUAAGUAAUAAGCAAACAAGCUGAAGAAGUAAGACUUUGUAAUACUGACAUGGGACUAAUUCCACUGCAGAAGUAAAAUUGAGAUUAUGCAUUUAGAUAACACUUACACUUUGUCCUUGACAAAUCUGUUUUCUUUUUAUGCAGUACGUAACCAUAAUUAGGGGAUGGAAAUGCAAGGGGAAAAAAAUUCGUUUUCACAAUUCUAGUACAUUUCUUGAUGAAAAUCCAAACAGGCCUGCAAUCCUAAAAUGAGAAAGGUUACUUUACCUUCUGUAAUUUCUAGAAGCAGUCUAUCACCCAACAAAAAAGCUGUGACAGUUAAUUUGAGCUUUUUUGUAUUUUUUCACACAUUUUUAUGUUUGCUUGAUCUCCCCAGCCUGUGAUUUUUCAUUUUCACCUUACCUCAUUCUUUAGAGAUAAGGCACUGCUGUGAUAAGCUAGUGUCUUUAGGAAGACAAACCAAAUAUACCAAUGUAGACAUACAGUAUAGUGCUGUCCUUGGGAUCUUUUCAUAAAAGCAAGCAAUCUUACACAUUUUAUUUAUUUUGGAAAUGUUGCUUUAGUCUAUAUACUGUAUGUACCUGAAGAAAUUCGAAUGCUGAGAUGUCUUUUUGAAAAAGGAACAGUCAAACACAAAGAAUCUGUAUUCAAAAAUGUCUCAAUAAAGACUAACAGUUUUUGUACUUGUAGUUUCACAGUAAACAAUUUAAAAACCUUGGUUGGUGAUACAUUUAUGAAAUUAUUGUAACUACUAGGAUUGAAUGGCCUUUAAGCUCGAAGAAUAAAAUGUUCCAAGAAACAGUAAUGG
rnacentral:lncRNA from 1 species